AACAAUACCCAACAAUACUGAGCCACGGAUGCCGCCCGGCCUGCCUGCUGCCUGCUGCCCCCUAUCCUAGCUCUUCCUCUUUGCCAUGCCGCUAGUCCGUUGAAUUGCAAGAAAGCAAUUGCUAAAAGUGACAAACAGCCAUAAACAAAUAACAGCAAAAUAUGAGAGAAAAUUAGGGCACAGACAUAUCCUUAAAUUUGUAUCAUCUGCUUUCACGAUACGUCCCUCGACGUAGCUUUUUUUUUAAUUUGGCUGAAAGUUCAAACCACCCUCAGCCUACGUAAAUCUUGACGAUGUAUGGCACCGUCCAGAAAAUACGUCCGUUUGUCGUAGAUUCAUUCGGCAAUGUACGGGAGCUCGGCGCCUGUGAAACUCAGGGUACGCCACCCCGCAGUACACGUAUGCAAUGCUGGAAAGAUGUUGCCUACCUAUCAGGCGCUAUGAGAGCUUGCAAAGCUGAACUCAAAGCUGAACAAAGCUGAACGUAGCCGAAAGACGGACGUACUUUCUGGGUGAUCCCUAUUCUGACUCCCUUCUCCCGACAGGGUGCUCGGGGGACACUUUCGGACAGAGGUGCGAGUUCCGCUGCCCGGACGAGACCCUCGGCUGCUUCGGCACCGUCCUCUGCGUCCCGGGCCACUACUGCGCCUGCGCGCCGGGGCUCGGCGGCGACCGCUGCGACAGAGUGUGCCAGCCCGGAGACACCGACUGCACGCUCCCGUGCGACGCGCCGCCGUGAACGCCGUGAAUCACCCCGCGGCUGUCACUGGAGUCAACUUGCACCGAAGAAAGACUAGUUCUAUAGUCUUCCUACUCCUUAAGGUUUAAUUUAUUUUUUCUACAUGCGGUAAGGCAGUAGAAAAAAUUGUAAAAAAAAUCGUACAAUGUUGUUGUUUGUACCUACGAUACUUUGAUUUCUUUCGUGUGUUUUAUUUGUUUUUGAUCUCACAAAAGAAAGAGUCAUGGUUGUGAUAAGAUAGUCGUCUUUUUAUAAGUUAGUUGUAAAUAACAUGAGCUCAGGAAAGAUGUAAGUAUAGCCAGCCCGGUAAUGGUGACAUGUCACGCGUGUAGAUGUAAAAAUAAUUUGCAAAAUGAACUCCUUGUUCAGAACUAUUUUCCCGACUUACGAACUGUAGUGAAAGUUGAAAAUAUUAAACCACCAAAAAAAUGUAAAA